CAUGGUUGUCGUCAGCUCGUGUCGUGAGAUGUUGGUUAAGUCCCGCAACGAGCGCAACCCUCGACCUUAGUUGCCAGCAUUCAGUUGGGCACUCUAAGGUGACUGCCGGCUAAAAGUCGGAGGAAGGUGGGGAUGACGUCAAAUCAUCAUGCCCCUUAUGACCUGGGCUACACACGUGCUACAAUGGGCGGUACAAAGGGUCGCGAACCCGCAGGGGGAGCCAAUCCCAAAAAGCCGCUCUCAGUUCGGAUUGCAGGCUGCAACUCGCCUGCAUGAAGCCGGAAUCGCUAGUAAUCGCGGAUCAGCAUGCCGCGGUGAAUACGUUCCCGGGCCUU
rnacentral:rRNA from 1 species